AUCUGUCUGGCAGAUAUGGAGACGGAAAGCACAAGAGGAUUGUGUUAGGAGUCUUAAGGGCUGGAUGUGACACUCCUUGAAAGGGAAGCUGGGGAAUGAGUAUGUAGGUGUGUGUCCAGGAUGUAGGGAAAAUGGGUUUGGUGGGGACAGCACUUCCUGGAAUAACGUUGCUUUGGAUUUAACAACAGUUGGGCAAAGGAGGUCGGUAUACAGAUACAGGACAAGAAGAGUGGUGUCAAAGGGAGGCUAAAUCAUUGGUUCUGGCUUCAUCUAAGGAAUUCUUAUGAGAAAUCGAGGGAGAGACUGUCCUGGGAAGUCUGAUGAAACAUAAAUGGGGUUUUGCCAUGUCGCUUAGGCUGGUUUCAAACUCCUGGACUCAAGCGAUCUGCCCGCCGCAGCCUUCUAAAGUGCUGGGAUUACAGGUAGGAGCCACCACACCCAGUCAAAUCAGUGGCUGAUAAGUCAUUCAACUUACAACUUUCAAUUUAACCUUUUGUUGGCAGCUCUCAGAGGACUUUGUAAUUGAAAAGACAGAAUCAUAGAAACAGUAAUCAGGUUCUCAGCAGACUUUUCAAAAUACGUUUCCAAACAUCCCUGUGGAAUUAAGACCAACAUUAGACAAUCUACUGAUUUUCCAGCCUGCUGGUGUCUCUCUGUGCUCAGAUUUUGAAUAAAUGAAUGACUUCAGCUUUGUUUUUCAAUUAAUUGUUAUUUAAUUUAAGACAUCUUAAGAGAUGUACAUAAAAGUACUUUGUAUAAGACAAAGGUGAAGAUUGCCUUAGGCAUAUUUGAGAAGGUUUGUUCAAUAAAAACUUAAGAAAAUAAGUGAAUUAGAUGUUUCUGGACAUUUCUUUCAACCGCUGAUUUUGUUGUGGUUGUUGUUAACUUACCAAAAAGUUAUAGAACCUUUCUCUAGAACUCGUGGAUAAUACUAAGCAAUUGCUCUAAGAGUUAGCUAUGUAAGUAUGAAAUUCUUAGCCCCUACAUUUCCUUUUCAGCUGACUGGGACAGAUGAAAAGCAGCACCAGCCACAGGUUUCUUUCUCAUUCUGUGUAAUUACCAUCUCUAAUCCUGAAUCACUCAAACUUUCCUACCACUAUACUCUGCACCUAUUCUCUGUUUCAUAUCCUAUCUAUGAUGAUGAUUGUUAAAAAGUUUCUCAAUAUAUCCUAGAUGCAGCAUCAACCACCACUGGCCCUUUUCCCCCUUUUGAUGUUGGCAAUGGGGGCAUAGAAACUACAGUACACUUUUUAGGAGUUGGACAGGGACAGAAUGGAAUAGGUUGGACAAAGUAUAUUGGGAUUGGGAUAAGAUGGAGGGGUUGGUGUAGGUUGAAGUUCUUCCAGAUGUAAUACAGGGUGUGGCUGCAGGGUGAGUGGGUUUGAAGAGAAUUUAUGGGUACCAAAGAGGCUGGAUGGGCAAAUAGUUAAAGAAGCAAGAGAAAAUACUUUAACUUUCUCCAAGUAUUGCUCCCAUGAGUGGCUCAACUGUACUAAUUAAAAUGAAAUCAAGUAGCAACUUGGAUGUCUGGAAAGACCUCUGAGUGCCAAAGGUGUGUGCUCACUCUUUCCUUUUCACAGAGUUGGCCUGCAGAUGAUGAAAACAGGUAUGAGGUCAGGCAUCUCCUCUUUCAUCCAGACCAUGGCAUUGAUUGCUCAGGGAAUCUCAUUUCUCCAACAUUUGCUGAAGCUAUUAAUACUUCCCCUAGUUUCCUUCCUGUCAGAGUGUUUGAAGAACACUUUGAGAAAUCAGAAAAAUAUUUGAGAGCAAAUAGUGUGAAAUGGUUCUCUUUGUUGUUAAUAACAAAUCAUAGGAGUCCCAUAUUCCCACAGAUCUACAAAUCAUGUGUCAAUAUCUAGUUUGUAAGUGUCUCCAUUUGUCCUCUAUCAUUCCAGAAGUCUUUUUCAUAUGAUGUCAGGGGAACUGAAAUGGAAUGUAAUAAAAUUUAAACCUGGGAUUUGCUGAAAAGAAACAGAGGUGGUAUUAGUCUUGUUUUUCUCAAACUUUUACCUCAUUUCUUUAAUAUAGCUCUUGCUGAGCAACUUGAAAAUUCUCCUAGAGAAUUGAGGCUUGGAUUUUUUGCAGCUGCCCUUGAGGUCAAUCUUUAAAUUGCAGUGUCUAUGGUGAAAGAGAAAAUUGAGUCACAGGAAGGAAUAAGUUAUGAAGAGAUUUUUGUCAAAAUAUUUCCCUUCCAAUAGGCAGAUAGAUAGUGCUACUCUUGACAGCAAAUUUCUUUUUGUUUUUUAUUAUUUUUAUUUUUAUUCUGAUGGAGUCUCACUCUGUCACCCAGGCUAGAGUGCAGUUGCAUGAUCUUGGCUCACUGGAACUUCUGCCUCCCAGGUUCAAGCUAUUCUUGUGCCUCAGCCUCCUGAGUAGGUGGAAUUAUAGGCAUGUGCUACCAUGCUUGGUUAAUUUUUUGUAUUUUUAGUAGAGACGGGGGUUUUACCAUGUUGGCCAGGCUGGUCUCGAACUCCUGACCUCAAGUGAUCUGUCUGCCUCAGCCUCCCAAAGUACUGGGAUUACAGGCGUGAGCCACUGCGCCCAGCCUUGACAGCAAAUUUCCUAAUGACUAGAAUUCUGUGUUUAAACCUCAUUAUUGUAAAUAAUGCUGCAAUGAACAUAGGAGUGCAGAUACACCUUUGACAUGCUGAUAUCAAGUCCUUCCAAUAUAUUCCAGAAAUGGGAUUACUGGAUCAUAUGGUAGUUUUGUUUUUAGUUUUUUGAGGAAACUCCAUACUAUUUUCCAUAAUGACUGUACUGAUUUAGAUUCCUACCAACAGUGUACUAGGGUUCCUUUUUCUCUGUAUCCUCACCAACACUUGCUAUCUUUAAUCUUUACACAAUGAAAUACUGUUCAGGCUUAAAAAAGAGCAAAAUCCUGUCAUUUGAGACAACAGGGUACAUCUAGAAGACAUUAUGCUAAGUGAAAUAAGCCAGGAACAGAAAGACAAAUAGUACAUGAUCUCACUUACAUGUGGAAUCUGAAAAAACUUGAAUUGAUACAGGUAGAGACUAGAAUGAUGGUUACCAGAGGCUAGGGGGAAAAGGGCGGAGGGAGCGGGAAUGGGGAGUUACUAGUCAAAGGGUACAAAGUUUCAG
rnacentral:lncRNA from 1 species